AGAGUUUGAUCCUGGCUCAGGACGAACGCUGGCGGCGCGCCUAACACAUGCAAGUCGAACGAGCGAGAGGAGGUUUACUUUCUCAAGCGAGUGGCGAACGGGUGAGUAACGCGUGAGGAACCUGCCUCAAAGAGGGGGACAACAGUUGGAAACGACUGCUAAUACCGCAUAAGCCCACGGGUCGGCAUCGACCAGAGGGAAAAGGAGCAAUCCGCUUUGAGAUGGCCUCGCGUCCGAUUAGCUAGUUGGUGAGGUAAUGGCCCACCAAGGCGACGAUCGGUAGCCGGACUGAGAGGUUGAACGGCCACAUUGGGACUGAGACACGGCCCAGACUCCUACGGGAGGCAGCAGUGGGGAAUAUUGCACAAUGGGGGAAACCCUGAUGCAGCGACGCCGCGUGGAGGAAGAAGGUCUUCGGAUUGUAAACUCCUGUUGUUGAGGAAGAUAAUGACGGUACUCAACAAGGAAGUGACGGCUAACUACGUGCCAGCAGCCGCGGUAAAACGUAGGUCACAAGCGUUGUCCGGAAUUACUGGGUGUAAAGGGAGCGCAGGCGGGAAGACAAGUUGGAAGUGAAAUCCAUGGGCUCAACCCAUGAACUGCUUUCAAAACUGUUUUUCUUGAGUAGUGCAGAGGUAGGCGGAAUUCCCGGUGUAGCGGUGGAAUGCGUAGAUAUCGGGAGGAACACCAGUGGCGAAGGCGGCCUACUGGGCACCAACUGACGCUGAGGCUCGAAAGUGUGGGUAGCAAACAGGAUUAGAUACCCUGGUAGUCCACACCGUAAACGAUGAUUACUAGGUGUUGGAGGAUUGACCCCUUCAGUGCCGCAGUUAACACAAUAAGUAAUCCACCUGGGGAGUACGACCGCAAGGUUGAAACUCAAAGGAAUUGACGGGGGCCCGCACAAGCAGUGGAGUAU
rnacentral:rRNA from 1 species